rnacentral:lncRNA from 1 species
UCUCUGGUCUCUUUUAAUUUUUCUAAUUAUUUUAGUCUCGUAGAUCUAUAACUUUAUAAGUUAAUUUUCACAUGAGCUGGAUUGACCUUGUCUUCGUUUUUUUUUCAUCGUUGCAUGUUUAGGAGGUUUACUUCCAUGACAUAAUCUUCACAAUGCAUGCAUUAGGUUCUCGCAAAAAAUACAUCACAUCAAACUUUAUGGCUGCAAAAUUUUUGGAUUAAUUAACUUUUGUUCAAAGAGAUUAGUCUGAUGAAUUUAGUUUAAAGACUCGUUUACUUACCAUGCAUGCAUUGUUAGGCUGAUUUUCCCAUGAAAUAAUUUGAAUGAAUGAUAUUAAUCCAACAAACUGAUGUGAUUAAGAGCACUAAUUGUCUGGUAUCUUAAGGUAGAUCUCACUAAAAGUAAAAAAAGGUUAGGGUAAAUGCAUUUUCAAUAGUUCUAGGAAAAAUGCAUUUUCAAAAAUUGACCCCAAUGACCUCUUUAAAAGAUAAUAUAUCAUGAUUUUGGGUUACACAUUCGUCGAAUCUCUCGUGCCAGUUGGCUUUCAUGCACAAAACGUAUUUUCGUCCUGGCUUUCAUGCACAACAAUUUAUUUUCCUCCUUUUCUACUCUUUGCAAUUUUACGACUGUUUUAUCUAUACUAUUAAAGCAGGAUCCUAUUGUCCUUUUUACCUUGGUUCAAGGCAUGGUUUAUUGCAAGUCUUGCAAGUACUCCGGCAUUAAUACGCUCCUAGAAGCAUCUCCUCUUCAAGGUUGUUACAUUAUAAUCUCUGGUCUCUUUUAAUUUUUCUAAUUAUUUUAGUCUCGUAGAUCUAUAACUUUAUAAGUUAAUUUUCACAUGAGCUGGAUUGACCUUGUCUUCGUUUUUUUUUCAUCGUUGCAUGUUUAGGAGGUUUACUUCCAUGACAUAAUCUUCACAAUGCAUGCAUUAGGUUCUCGCAAAAAAUACAUCACAUCAAACUUUAUGGCUGC